CCUACGGGCGGUAGCAGUAGGGAAUCUUCCACAAUGGGCGAAAGCCUGAUGGAGCAACGCCGCGUGGGUGAAGAAGGUCUUCGGAUCGUAAAACCCUGUUGUUCGAGAAGAAAGUGCGUGAGAGUAACUGUUCACGUUUCGACGGUAUCUAACCAGAAAGCCACGGCUAACUACGUGUCAGCAGCCGCGGUAAUACGUAGGUGGCAAGCGUUAUCCGGAUUUAUUGGGCGUAAAGGGAACGCAGGCGGUCUUUUAAGUCUGAUGUGAAAGCCUUCGGCUUAACCGGAGUAGUGCAUUGGAAACUGGGAGACUUGAGUGCAGAAGAGGAGAGUGGAACUCCAUGUGGAGCGGUGAAAGGCGUAGAUAUAUGGAAGAACACCAGUGGCGAAAGCGGCUCUCUGGUCUGUAACUGACGCUGAGGUUCGAAAGCGUGGGUAGCAAACAGGAUUAGAUACCCCUGUAGUC
rnacentral:rRNA from 1 species